rnacentral:lncRNA from 1 species
UUCAAAUGAAAUAAAUUUAAAGUUUAAAGAAGGUACAAAGUUGGUGAGCUCCAGCCACAGUUCUAUCAGGAUGGCUGCGUGUUGCCGUGUUCAUGUCCAGCACAACAGAAACUGAGGAAGACUCUCCUUCAGCCAUGGAACUGCUGGGCAAGAGGAUAGAGUGCCGAAUAGCCAGAUGCUUUAAUUCCAUUUUUAGCAAUGAAGUUUGUGCAUGUGAAACAUGCAUGUGGAACCACCUGGUUAGAAGGUUUUUUCCAACACUGUCAAAGCCUCUUCAGGAACAAAGCAAAGUCACCGCUCCGAAAAGUAAAUAAGAGACUGGGAGAAAGGAGACCAGGUUUGGCCUCCUAUGUCUGCUACUGACUGGGAGACUGCGAUGCGCCGUACUUUGCUGAACCUCAGAUUCUUCAUCUCUGCAUGCAGAGGGCUUGCCUGAGGCCCUUUCUUCUAAAACUUUGUAUGAACUUGCUUUAGUAUGAACUUGCUUUACCUUCCCUUCAACUUUAGUACCUUAACUAUUCCCUCUAAUAUCACUGGCUCCCUCUUCUUUUAUCAUAGUUAACAAGUGUUUUUGUGAACCCUUAUUUAGUUAGAUAGCAUAACUCAAAAAACAGUUAGUGGUACGAAUUCCCAUUACUACUCAGUCUUGUUCCCCAGAUGCUCUUUUGAGAAUUUACUGUUAAUACAGUUAAUGCUACAGUAUUUAAUAAUAAUUUUGAGAAUUAUCAACUACUGGUUCUUUAAACCAACAUCCAUAAGAUUAAUCUGUAAAACAAUCAUGUAGAUCCUGACCUCUCACAGUUUAUGAUGCAAUGAUUCCAAUAAGGAAGUUCUUUCCUUAUUAUCUUCUGUUUUCUAUAUUCUGACCAAUGUGGCAAUCACAUAUAAGUACCUGGUAUCUUUUCAUCAUAACACUUGUUUAUAAAUAGCUAUAACUCAUUUUGACACACCAAAUUAUCCCUAAAAAACUAGAGUGACUCCUUAGGAAUUGGGUGACCUCAUUGUACUAGGUUGGGCCAAGAGGCUACUACAUAAGUGAAGAGUAAGGUGUGGGAAUUUG